UCAGGGGUCACAUUGUGGGGAGUCAGCAGAAGAUAGAAGACUACCACACAGGGGUCAGGGGUCACAUUGUGGGGAGUCAACAGAAGAUAGAAGGGGACCACACAGGGGUCAGGGGUCACAUUGUAGGGAGUCAGCAGAAGAUAGAAGACUGAUAUAGGUUUUCUGUUUAUGCCCAAUAUGUGACUGUACUGCCUGCACCCUCUGCAUUGAGGCUUGGGUGCAAAGUCCUGUUACCACUGUGAUAGUAACUCCAAUGUCGACCACCAUGUCUGGCAGGAAUACCCGUGUUUGACAAGUCAUCUGUUUACUCUGCUGGGCCCCAUCAUGUGAUCACCACAGUUUCAGAAACAGGCCUAUACAUCACUGAUGUUUAAAAUGGGAAGGAACAACUGCAUGUAUACAGUUCACAGGUGGCACAUGGUCCUGUGUACAGUGCACUGGUCACAAUCAGGUGGUGUAAGUGGGGCGCAGAGAGUCCUUGGAUGGAUGACAUGUUCAACAGCGUGGCUCUUGAGAGUUUGUGGGCUUUGGUCCAGCCCCACACUGAAGCACAUGUGCUAUUGCAGGAGUUGAGGCAGCAGAGGAGAUGAGCUGGAUUGUUCCGUAGACAGACACCUAACAGGAUGCUCGAAGCAGAAAAUGCCCGUCUGCGCUUGACGUAGGAACCACUUGGACUAUAAACUCGUCUUGAUUUAUUUUGGUAGGGAGAGUAAUCCCCCUUUUUGACAAGGAAUAUUAGCAGUGGUGAUUGAUCUGCUGGUCUGGUGAGAUGGACUGGCCCGAGACCCCCAGUGUACAGGGAUCACCCUGCUGAAGCAGCACACUUGCAGCUAGCCGAUGUUGUGCUGGGGGCAGCCCCUGGAGGCACUGCCUGUUACAUCUGGUGUGUAGAUAUCAAACACGUAUCAGAUAUCAUAGGACACUCCAACAAUCUCAUGAGAUGAAUUCUGAAAAUAAUUUUGUCAAUAUUUCUGAUUGGUCUAAUAUGUAAGUUUGGAGAGCUUCAA